rnacentral:lncRNA from 1 species
AUUUGUUUGUGCAUUUUGUCCAAUUCUUUGUUCAAGACGCCAAGAACAUAGACACUCUUCACUGUUAACAUAUUUUGGCGAGCUAGCCAGGAGGAAGAGAUAAGCCCAAAGUCUGGGAUUUAUUCUUCUCCUUUCUCCUUUUCCUUUCUGCUCCAAACAGGCGAAUCUCUUUCUCUCUCUUUUCCUUUCCAACCUGGGACCCUUGGUGGGCAGCACCUAAACAUGGAAGCAACUGCAGGUUUCUGGCCAUGGUCAGUGAAACUAAGGGGUUUCCACAGGCAAAGCCCAACCACCACUGCCCAAUUUGCUUAAGGAAUCUGGGUCUUUUUCAUUUUUUUACUCUUCUUUUUUUUUUUUUUUUUCCGUCUUUCAAUGGCUGUUUCCUAGUAGCUCCUUGGAAACUGAGGACAAUUGGCUGAGGUCACUCCCCAGUGUUGCCUGAAGGCCUAGGAACAAAUGGGAAUAAUUGCCCUACCCAGAAGGGGAAAGGACUUUUUAAAAAUCUUUUCCACACCUGGUCCCUGAUUCCUAUGUGUGGUGCAGUUUGGAGCAAACUACCUGUUUCAGGAAACAGCUCACAGUAGGCUCUGGAGGGAAUGCAUGCAAAGUGGCACCGGUGCCCACCUAAGGCCAAGAGACAUCUGGAACUCUUAAGAUUGAACCCCACAGGAGGACACUCGGAGGGGAUCAUCCGGAACUCAAACUUUCCAAAGAAGAUGCUCUCUGCAGAGGUGAGAGACCAUCGAGCUUCAGAUGAUCACUCAACAAAGGCUCCAGCAAGUUCCAGGUGAAGACACCACCCCUGGCCAUCAAGGAGCUACCCUGCCUCCACUAGACACAGCAGGAAGCCAUUGGCUGCUCUUUGCAAGGAAUCCUUAGACAGACCUCUGGGAGGAAUCUGACUACUGUUUUCCCCAAAACAAUACGCCAUCAGCAGGAAGCGGCUAAGACCAGUCAUCAUCCAUAUUUUAAAGGCAGUUACACGUACUUCUUCAGAGGGGGAAAAUGAUAUGGAAGGGAGGAAGGGAAUUGCUGGGAAGGGAAGGGCAUGGUCCCUUUAAAUGAUGCGGAAGGGGUAAAGGGCAUGGUCCCUGGCUAGGGCUCCACUCCCGGGCCUGUACCCAUGGACCUAGGUGAGGACAGGAAUUUUUGUUUUCCACCCAAAUGUUGCAUUUCCCAAGACCACCCUGGCCUGCCACACCCCCAUCCUGUGCCUAUAAAAACCCCAAGACCUUAGCAAGCAGACACACAGGCAUCUGGACGCCAAGAGGACCACACCAGCGGAGGAACGCACCGGAAGCUGGACUUUGAGAGGAACGCACCAAUAGGCACCAGCAUGCCGGCAGGCCACCGACCGGCAGAAAGAUGCAGAGUUUGGCCAGGGCAGUCGCAGGAGAGCCCAGGCCACCAAGCAGCCCAACUCCAGGGGAAAACCAUCUUCCUUCUUGCUCCCCCGUCUGCUGAGAGCUACUUCCAUUCAAUAAAACCUUGCACUCAUUUUCCAAGCCCAUAU